rnacentral:rRNA from 1 species
AACGAACGCUGGCGGCAUGCCUAACACAUGCAAGUCGAACGAGACCUUCGGGUCUAGUGGCGCACGGGUGCGUAACGAGUGGGAACCUGCACUUAGGUUAGGAAUAACUCCCCGUAGGGGGUGCUAAUAACGGUGAAGGUCUUAGGACCAAAGAUUUAUCGCUUUUGGAUGGGGGUGGGUUGGAUUCGGCAGUUGGUAGGGUAAAAGCAUACCAAGGCGGCGUUGCAUAGCUGGUCUGAGAGGAUGGCCAGCCAGACUGGGACUGAGACACGGCCCAGACUCCUACGGGACGCAGCAGAGGGUAAUAUUAUGCGAGGAGCGAAAGCCUGAUACAGCAAUGCCGCGUAAGUGAUGAAGGCCGUAGGGUUGUAAAGCUCUUUUACCCGAGAUGAUAAUGACAGUACCGGGUGAAGAAGCUCCGGCUAACUCCGUG